rnacentral:rRNA from 1 species
AGAGUUUGAUCCUGGCUCAGGACGAACGCUGGCGGCGUGCUUAACACAUGCAAGUCGAACGAGGCCCUGCCUUCGGGCAGGUGACCUAGUGGCGAACGGGUGAGUAACACGUGGGCAACCUACCCUCAGCUCUGGGAUAACCCCGGGAAACCGGAGCUAAUACCGGAUACGACCGAGAGCGACAUCUCUUUCGGUGGAAAGUUUUUCGGCUGAGGAUGGGCCCGCGGCCUAUCAGCUUGUUGGUGGGGUAAUGGCCUACCAAGGCGACGACGGGUAGCCGGCCUGAGAGGGCGAACGGCCACACUGGGACUGAGACACGGCCCAGACUCCUACGGGAGGCAGCAGUGGGGAAUAUUGCGCAAUGGGCGAAAGCCUGACGCAGCGACGCCGCGUGAGGGAUGAAGGCCUUCGGGUUGUAAACCUCUUUCAGCAGGGACGAAGCGAAAGUGACGGUACCUGCAGAAGAAGCACCGGCCAACUACGUGCCAGCAGCCGCGGUAAUACGUAGGGUGCAAGCGUUGUCCGGAAUUAUUGGGCGUAAAGAGCUCGUAGGCGGUUUGUCGCGUCGGCUGUGAAAACUCGGGGCUCAACCCCGAGCCUGCAGUCGAUACGGGCAAACUAGAGUGUGGUAGGGGAGACUGGAAUUCCUGGUGUAGCGGUGAAAUGCGCAGAUAUCAGGAGGAACACCGGCGGCGAAGGCGGGUCUCUGGGCCAUAACUGACGCUGAGGAGCGAAAGCGUGGGGAGCGAACAGGAUUAGAUACCCCCGUAGUCC